rnacentral:rRNA from 1 species
GACGAACGCUGGCGGCGUGCCUAAUACAUGCAAGUAGAACGCUGAAGCUUGGUGCUUGCACCGAGCGGAUGAGUUGCGAACGGGUGAGUAACGCGUAGGUAACCUGCCUGGUAGCGGGGGAUAACUAUUGGAAACGAUAGCUAAUACCGCAUAACAGUAGAUAUCGCAUGAUAGCUACUUGAAAGGUGCAAAUGCACCACUACCAGAUGGACCUGCGUUGUAUUAGCUAGUUGGUGAGGUAACGGCUCACCAAGGCAACGAUACAUAGCCGACCUGAGAGGGUGAUCGGCCACACUGGGACUGAGACACGGCCCAGACUCCGACGGGAGGCAGCAGUAGGGAAUCUUCGGCAAUGGACGGAAGGCUGACCGAGCAACGCCGCGUGAGUGAAGAAGGUUUUCGGAUCGUAAAGCUCUGUUGUAAGGGAAGAACGAGUGUGAGAGUGGAAAGUUCACACUGUGACGGUAUCUUACCAGAAAGGGACGGCUAACUACGUG